GUGUUCACUUUGGUAGUACAUAUACUAAAAUUGGAACGAUACAGAGAAGAUUAGCAUGGCCCCUGCCCAAGGAUGACAUGCCAGUUUGUGACGUGUUCCAUGUUUUU
ensembl:snRNA U6 U6 spliceosomal RNA